GACGAACGCUGGCGGCGUGCCUAACACAUGCAAGUCGAACGGGGUAAAGAGAGCUUGCUUUCUUUACUUAGUGGCGAACGGGUGAGUAACGCGUGAGAAACCUGCCUUUCAGUGGGGGACAACAGUUGGAAACGACUGCUAAUACCGCAUAAUGUGCCGGGAGGGCAUCCUCCUGGUACCAAAGCUUUAUGUGCUGAAAGAUGGUCUCGCGUCUGAUUAGCUAGUUGGUGAGGUAACGGCUCACCAAGGCGACGAUCAGUAGCCGGUCUGAGAGGAUGAACGGCCACAUUGGGACUGAGAUACGGCCCAG
rnacentral:rRNA from 1 species